rnacentral:rRNA from 1 species
CAUAGCGUAUAUUAAAGUUGUUGCAGUUAAAAAGUCUCGUAGUUGGAUUUCUGGGAGAGUGCCAAUGUCCGCCGAAGUGCGUGCGCAGCGGCGCUCUUUCAUCCUUCUGUUAACGGCUCUUGGCAUUUAUUUGCUGGUGUCGGGCUCAGAUAUUUUACCUUGAGAAAAUUAGAGUGUUUCAGGCAGGCUAGGCCGGAAUACAUUAGCAUGGAAUAAUGGAAUAGGACUACGGUCUCUUUGUUGGUUUGAGGGACUGCAGUAAUGAUUAAUAGGGAUAGUUGGGGGCAUUAGUAUUUAAUUGUCAGAGGUGGAAUUCUCGGAUUUGUUAAAGACUAACUUAUGCGAAAGCAUUUGUCAAGGAUGUUUUCAUUAAUCAAGAACGAAAGUUAGGGGAUCAAAGACGAUCAGAUACCGUCCUAGUCUUAACCAUAAACUAUGCCGACUCGGGAUCGGGGGCGCGAACUAUCCGCCUUCGGCACCGUAUGAGAAAUCAAAGUCUU